rnacentral:rRNA from 1 species
GGCCUACCAUGGUGGUAACGGGUAACGGGGAAUUAGGGUUCGAUUCCGGAGAGGGAGCCUGAGAAACGGCUACCACAUCCAAGGAAGGCAGCAGGCGCGCAAAUUACCCAAUCCCGACACGGGGAGGUAGUGACAAUAAAUAACAACACAGGGCUCUUUCGGGUCUUGUUAUUGGAAUGAGUACGAUUUAAAUCUCCUAACGAGGAACAAUUGGAGGGCAAGUCUGGUGCCAGCAGCCGCGGUAAUUCCAGCUCCAAUAGCGUAUAUUAAAGUUGUUGCAGUUAAAAAGCUCGUAGUUGAAUUUCAGGCCUGGCUGGGCGGUCCGCCCUUCGGGUGAGUACUGCCUGUGGUCGGGUCCUACCUUCUGGCGAAGCGUCAUGGCCUUAACCGGCCGUGGCGGGGAACCAGGACUUUUACUGUGAAAAAAUUAGAGUGUUCAAAGCAGGCAAUCGCUUGGAUACAUUAGCAUGGAAUAAUGGAAUAGGACAAUGGUUCUAUUUGUUGGUUUCUAGGACCGUUGUAAUGAUUAAUAGGGAUAGUUGGGGGCAUUAGUAUUCAAUUGUCAGAGGUGAAAUUCUUGGAUUUAUUGAAGACUAACUACUGCGAAAGCAUUUGCCAAGGAUGUUUUCAUUAAUCAAGAACGAAAGUUAGGGGAUCGAAGACGAUCAGAUACCGUCGUAGUCUUAACCAUAAACUAUGCCGACUAGGAAUCGGGCGAUGUUGAAAAAAUGACGCGCUCGGCACCUCAUGGGAAACCAAAGUGUUUGGGUUC